UAUUACAUAGUUUAAAAAAAACUUAGAUCUUGUAAAUCUAAAAUAUAUAAAUUAUUAAUAUUGUAAAAA
rnacentral:tRNA from 2 species